rnacentral:rRNA from 1 species
UUUUACCUACGGGACGCAGCAGUGGGGAAUAUUGCACAAUGGGCGCAAGCCUGAUGCAGCGACGCCGCGUGCGGGAUGGAGGCGUUCGGGUUGUAAAGCGCUUCUGUUCAAGGGCAAGGCACGGUCUUUGGCCGUGUUGAGUGGAUUGUUCGAAUAAGCACCGGCUAACUACGUGCCAGCAGCCGCGGUAAUACGUAGGGUGCAAGCGUUAUCCGGAUUUAUUGGGCGUAAAGGGCUCGUAGGCGGUUCGUCGCGUCCGGUGUGAAAGUCCAUCGCUUAACGGUGGAUCCGCGCCGGGUACGGGG